rnacentral:rRNA from 1 species
CCCUAUGGGGCGCAUCUUCGAACCGUUCUUUACCACCAAGGAACUGGGCAAAGGAACCGGGUUGGGGCUGGCCACCGUUUACGGUGUCGUUCGGCGGCACCAGGGUAUGAUUCGCAGCUACAGCGAAGUGGGCAAAGGAACGACAUUCAAAAUUUACCUGCCUAUGGUGGAACGUUCCGCCUCGAGCGUAGGGUCCAAGAUCACCGGACGGCCGCGCGGAGGGACAGAGACCAUUUUGGUGGCGGAAGACGAUCUCUCCGUGCGAAGAUUAGCCGUUCGCAUUCUGGAGACUGCCGGUUACACGGUGCUGGCGACCUCCGACGGCAAGGAAGCCCGGCAACUCUUUCAGGAAUACGAGAAACCCAUCGACUUGGUUCUGUUGGAUGUAGUGAUGCCGGAAUUGGCGGGGGGGC